GGUGGGGAACCGGUCCCGUGGAUAGGGCGACGGUGCAGAACCGGACCCUUGGAUAAGGUAUACCAGAGAUUUACAGCCUCUCCCACUGGAUGCCCUUGUCCACUCCUUGCAGCCAGGCGAUUCCGUUCUUGUUCGGACCUGAAAGGACGAGCCUCUCCAAGAAAAGUGGAAGGGACCCCGCACUGUCCUACUGGUCUCCCACACAGCAGCAAAGGUCGAAGGACACAAGAACUAGAUUCAUCACUCCAGUCUGAAGGCAGUGCCCGCUCCUGAAGGGUGGACCAUCCAGCCUACGGAAAAGGACUACCAGUGACGACCUGAGACUUAAACUGUUAUUCAAAA